UGCCCUGCGUUCCAGGACCAAUCGGCUUUGCCACUCUGCAGUUAGCCAUGGCCUGUGCUGAAUACACUCUGAUUUAAAAGGAAAUACUUUCCAGGUAUCAGGAAGAAGUCUCUGAAAGUUUACCAUUCAGAGGAUGAUAAAAUACACCUAGUUGUCCAAGAAUGAGCUUAUGGAGUCGUGGGAGGUAAGCUGUUUGGAGGACAUGUCCUAGGAGAAGGGUACAAAGCAACGCAGUCCAAAAACCCCGUGUACAUUCUAUUCUGACCCAGAAAGCCUUCAAGACACAGAUUGAUUAGAACCAGGUAACGAAGUAGAAAGAGAUGAAAAAGCAAAGCAAAAUCACGGGUGCCCCUAGGGAGUCUGCUCCACGCGUGGC